AGAGUUUGAUCCUGGCUCAGGACGAACGCUGGCGGCGUGCCUAACACAUGCAAGUCGAACGGAGUUUAAUAACGGAAACCUUCGGGCGGAAGAUAUUAAACUUAGUGGCGGACGGGUGAGUAACGCGUGAGCAACCUGCCUCUCAGAGGGGGAUAACGUUUGGAAACGAACGCUAAUACCGCAUAACAUAUCUUUACCGCAUGAUAGAGAUAUCAAAGGAGCAAUCCGCUGAGAGAUGGGCUCGCGUCCGAUUAGAUAGUUGGUGAGGUAACGGCUCACCAAGUCGACGAUCGGUAGCCGGACUGAGAGGUUGAACGGCCACAUUGGGACUGAGACACGGCCCAGACUCCUACGGGAGGCAGCAGUGGGGGAUAUUGCACAAUGGGCGCAAGCCUGAUGCAGCAACGCCGCGUGAGGGAAGACGGUCUUCGGAUUGUAAACCUUUGUUCUUAGUGAAGAAAUUUGACGGUAGCUAAGGAGAAAGCCACGGCUAACUACGUGCCAGCAGCCGCGGUAAUACGUAGGUGGCAAGCGUUGUCCGGAAUUACUGGGUGUAAAGGGAGCGCAGGCGGGAGAGCAAGUCAGCUGUGAAAUCUAAGGGCUUAACCCUUAAAUUGCAGUUGAAACUGUUUUUCUUGAGUGAAGUAGAGGUAGGCGGAAUUCCGAGUGUAGCGGUGAAAUGCGUAGAUAUUCGGAGGAACACCAGUGGCGAAGGCGGCCUACUGGGCUUUAACUGACGCUGAGGCUCGAAAGUGUGGGGAGCAAACAGGAUUAGAUACCCUGGUAGUCCACACUGUAAACG
rnacentral:rRNA from 1 species